UACAGAGGGUGCAAGCGUGAAUCGGAAUUACUGGGCGUAAAGCGCGCGUAGGUGGUUUGUUAAGUUGGAUGUGAAAUCCCCGGGCUCAACCUGGGAACUGCAUUGGAAACUGGCGAGCUUGAGUAUGGCAGAGGGGGGUGGAAUUCCGCGUGUAGCAGUGAAAUGCGUAGAGAUGCGGAGGAACACCGAUGGCGAAGGCAGCCCCCUGGGCCAAUACUGACGCUCAGGCACGAAAGCGUGGGGAGCAAACAGG
rnacentral:rRNA from 1 species